rnacentral:lncRNA from 1 species
GAACUCCAUUCCAUUGUGAGGAUCAACAUAAUCAUUGUCUGUAUUUGGGUUAGUAGGAGAAGGUGCAUUCUUUUGAAUAACACCAGCAACCCCCAUCCAACUAAUCUUAUUGGAUAUUUUUUAGAUUUAUAAUUUCAACAUCAUCUGUAGAAAUCUCUAUACAAGAUCAAUAACAUCGAUGUUAAUAGCGUUAGGUGAUAUUUUCUCUAGAGG